rnacentral:rRNA from 1 species
UGGGGAAUAUUGCACAAUGGACGAAAGUCUGAUGCAGCAACGCCGCGUGGAGGAUGACACAUUUCGGUGCGUAAACUCCUUUUAUAUAGGAAGAUAAUGACGGUACUAUAUGAAUAAGCACCGGCUAACUCC